AGGAACAGUGGGUUAACUGUCUUGUUCAGGGGGCAGAACGACAGAUUUUUACCUUGUCAGCUCGGGGAUUCAAUCUAGUAAUCUAGUAACCUUUUGGUUACUGGCCCAACACUCUAACCACUAGGCUACCUGCCAAGAUGACACCCUGUUAAAUGAGGAGAUGACACCCUGUUAAAUGAGGAGAUGACACCCUGUUAAAUGUGUAGAUGACACCCUGUUAAAUGAGGAGAUGACACCCUGUUACAUGAGGAGAUGACACCCUGUUAAAUGAGGAGAUGACACCCUGUUAAAUGAGGAGAUGACACCCUGUUAAAUGUGUAGAUGACACCCUGUUAAAUGAGGAGAUGAGGUGAUGACACCCUGUUAAAUGAGGAGAUGAGGUGAUGACACCCUGUUAAAUGAGGUGAUGACACCCUGUUAAAUGAGGAGAUGACACCCUGUUAAAUGAGGAGAUGACACCCUGUUAAAUGAGGAGAUGACACCCUGUUAAAUGAGGAGAUGACACCCUGUUAAAUGAGGUGAUGACACCCUGUUAAAUGAGGAGAUGACACCCUGUUAAAUGAGGAGAUGACACCCUGUUAAAUGAGGAGAUGACACCCUGUUAAAGGGAUAGUGUUUGAUUCUGACAAUUGGGAUCCUUAUUUGCGUGCAGUGUGAAGGAAGUUGAAGGUCAUUUCGUGGGGUAUUGCUAACUGCACACAGAGACAUACAAAUCUGACUCUGGGUAAGUAGAAAAACAGAAACUCCUACUUUAACAUGCAGCUCCCCAAUAAAGAAAUGCAUCCCUAUCAACAAACUGAAAGAUCCUGGCUGGCAUCCACUUGUCCAGUCACCUUAGUGCUCAGUUGGUUUCAAGCCAUUGGCUCACAGCAUGGUUGAGGCCCCUCACACUGGCAUAACCUCCUCCUCCCUGUAGAAUUGCCAGGCUUGCACUACAGUAGGCCACAGGACCCGAAUGCCUCACACGCAGCACAGCACAUAACUCUUUGUGAAAUGCGCCAUAAAAACUAGAAAGUGUAUUGGGGGAGGAGGGGGGGGUUGGCAGUGGCCUUUUGUACAGUCAGAAAUAGCACAGCCAGUCAGUCCCCUGUGACAUUAUUAAAUGCCUCGACUAGAAUAGAGUAUAGGGGUGUGAACGUGUAAACGAAAUUGGGAUCCUUAACGUUAAUAAGAAAUCCCUAACCGAAAAACAAUUAUUUUUUCGUCUUCACAAAAUGAAACUUCAAAUCACAGUGCUGUUGUCACAAAACUACCACAAACAGGUCCCGAUCAUCAUCACAAAACUACCACAAACAGGUCCCGGGAAUUUUUUUUUUUUAUUUUUUUUUUUU